rnacentral:rRNA from 1 species
GAUGAACGCUGGCGGCGUGCCUAACACAUGCAAGUCGAGCGAUUCUCUUCGGAGAAGAGCGGCGGACGGGUGAGUAACGCGUGGGUAACCUGCCUUGUACACACGGAUGACAUACCGAAAGGUAUGCUAAUACGAGAUAAUAUGCUUUUAUCGCAUGGUAGAAGUAUCAAAGCUUUUGCGGUACAGGAUGGACCCGCGUCUGAUUAGCUAGUUGGUAAGGUAACGGCUUACCAAGGCGACGAUCAGUAGCCGACCUGAGAGGGUGAUCGGCCACAUUGGAACUGAGACACGGUCCAAACUCCUACGGGAGGCAGCAGUGGGGAAUAUUGCACAAUGGGCGAAAGCCUGAUGCAGCAACGCCGCGCGAGCGAUGAAGGCCUUCGGGUCGUAAAGCUCUGUCCUCAAGGAAGAUAAUGACGGUACUUGAGGAGGAAGCCCCGGCUAACUACGUGCCAGCAGCCGCAGUAA